AUAAAGUUGGCAGAAUAUAUGCAAAUAAUUUAGAAUUAUUUUAUAAAAGUUUUCUUUUACUUUAUA
rnacentral:tRNA from 1 species